GCAUUUUAUGACUCUUCAUAUUAUCAUAUAGAUAUUUUAAUUAAAAAGUGUACAAAAAAUCAUACAUAGAGGGUCCGAUUGGUAACCUACGAAGGAAUACAAAGAAUGAAGAGGAACAUGACUAAAAAAGAACAAAAAAGAAAAGAAAAAAUGAUAAAAUAGGAAUGAAAAGGAAUCAGUGUAGAGGAAAAAUAGAACAAAUGUUACUGUAAAUGAUAACAAAAAAUAGAAUAAAUAGUAACAAAAAUUAAAAAUAAAGAAAU
rnacentral:sRNA from 1 species